rnacentral:rRNA from 1 species
UACGUAGGGUGCAAGCGUUGUCCGGAAUUAUUGGGCGUAAAGAGCUCGUAGGUGGUUCGUCGCGUCGGCUGUGAAAACCUGAGGCUCAACCUCAGGCCUGCAGUCGAUACGGGCGGACUUGAGUACUGCAGGGGAGACUGGAAUUCCUGGUGUAGCGGUGAAAUGCGCAGAUAUCAGGAGGAACACCGGUGGCGAAGGCGGGUCUCUGGGCAGUAACUGACGCUGAGGAGCGAAAGCGUGGGGAGCGAACAGG